GAUGAACGCUAGCGGGAGGCCUAACACAUGCAAGCCGAGCGGUAUUUGUUCUUCGGAAUAGAGAGAGCGGCGCACGGGUGCGGAACACGUGUGCAACCUGCCUUUAUCUGGGUGAUAGCCUUUCGAAAGGAAGAUUAAUACCCCAUAAUAUAUUGAGUGGCAUCAUUUGAUAUUGUAAACUCCGGUGGAUAGAGAUGGGCACGCGCAAGAUUAGAUAGUUGGUGAGGUAACGGCUCACCAAGGCAAUGAUCUUUAGGUGGGCUGAGAGGGUGAUCCCCCAGAAUGGUACUAAGACACAGACCAGACUCGUACGCGGGGCAGCAGUGAGGAAUAUUAUGCAAUGGAGUAUCACCUGAUCCAGCCGUCCCGCGUGAAGGAGGACGGCCCUAGGAGAUGUAAGCUGCUUGUGAAUAGGGAUAAACCUACUCUCGUGAGAGUAGCUGAAGGUACUAAACGAAUAAGCACCGGCUAACUCCGUG
rnacentral:rRNA from 1 species